AUUCUACCCCUCCGUCCGGAAAUAUUUGAAAUCAAAAUGGAUAAAAGGGAUGUAUCUAGACAUAUUUUAGUUCUAGAUUAUCCAUUUUGAUGACAAGUAUUUUUGGAUGGAGGGAGUAUUUU
rnacentral:pre_miRNA from 1 species